ACAUAAAUGAACAGGGGUAUUAAAGUAAAGUUGGCACAAGGGACAGCAUCCACACAGCACAUUCUUUGUUCCAGGCCCUUCGUUUUGUCAGUACUCUCGGAAAAAGGAGCAGCCCCUAAAUAAAUCAUGGAAGUACACGAGACUGCAUAAGGCCUUUUAUAGUCUGCAAAUGGUCAUGCAUCUUAUAUAAAGUUCAUUUUCGACUUCCCCGUUUAAAUGUUAGCAGCCUCAAAAUAAGAGCCAGGCUAUUUACCUGUAAGAAGCUAGUAUUUAAAAAUAGGGCAGAAAGAAGAAUAACCAGGCGGCAGGAGAGGAGACAGGAUGGUCAAGUGUGAGGGGGUCGACUGGUCUCAAACCAGAUCUACGAGCCACUUCGGGUUUGUCGAUUCAACUUUACCCAUUUGAGGGAGAGGAGGGAGGAAGACACACCCUACUGGAGGUAUUUCCACAAAUACAGAUAAGGGAACCGGUUUGUUAUUUGAAGGUAUGGGCUGUCCAUAUGAUUCCGGGGGUGUCCUCGGGGCGCGCGGUGACAUGCACAAUUAGGGCUGCAUGACACCUGGCACUCUCUUGAGUUCGGGUGCGGAGGACAAAAGGGCCGUCCCUUGGAGCGCGCGGGCGGCCG
rnacentral:lncRNA from 1 species